GACACGCACAUGCACACACACACAAACACAAGCUAAUAUACUAGGAAAAGAAAAGGAUCACGAAAUGUCAAAGGGACAUGGGAACCAAUCUGAAGGACAUCCCAGCAGCCCAAGUGGAACAAUUUGAGCAACAAAAUAUAUAAUAGAGAAUCGGAUUAUAACCCAAAGUAUGAUAGAAAUACACACGAGUCCAUCCUCAUAAGUGAAUAAUACGGGGAGAAGAGACAAAUCUUCCAGAAGAUUUCCAAAUAAAGGCUAUAGAUACUGCCCCUCUAGGAGGCUGAUCUUAUUCUCCAUCUCCAUUGAGUAGGGGCUAAACUAGUGGCUCACUUCCAAAAACCAGAGGAUAGAAAAAGGAAAAUAACUUUUAGUGGAAAAACUUUGCCAACACUACGCCGGAGCUCAAGGUCAGCAUCACCGGUUGUAAGUUCUGCAGGUACCACGCGCUACUACCUGAUGAGAUCUGGUGUGAUGAGAAAGGCAUUUCACCCCCGCAGUGGCCUCAGAACCCAUGUUCGCAGUCUAAUCCUGAGAAAACAUCAGAUAAGCCCAAAUUGAGGGACAUUCUACAAAAUACCUGACCAUACCCUUCAAAACCCUCAAGGUCAUGAAGAGCAAAGCCAGACAGAAACUGCCACAGAGAAGACCAAGGAAACAGGACAACUAAUUCCAGGGUGUGGGAUUCAGGUUGGAUCUUGGGUAAGAAAAAUAGUAUUAGUGGAGAAAAUGCUGAAAUCUGGAUGAAGGAUGUAAUCGUAUUGAAGAGUGAUGUGCCAGUGUUUUCUUACUUUUGACAAAUGUCCCAUAGUUAGAUAAAAAGUUAACAGUGGGGGAAACUGGGUGCAGGGUUACAGGAGCCAUAUAAUCUUUACAACUUUUCUAUCAGCCUAAAAUAAUUCCCAAAUUAAAAGGGUUCUAAAAUAAAAAGGGAAAUUUUAUAUAGAUUCUUGCUAAUGGUCUUUAGAGCAGUUACUCUUGUUCCAUCUUUCAGAGGGGGGAGAUAUAUUUUUAGUUUUCUAAAGAAAGAAUUUACAAAGCCUUUUUUCUUUUUCUGAGUGAUGUGGGAUCCGACCUCGGGGACCCCAGAAUGAUGAGACCAACGACAAAGUGAAGUAAGGAUCCGACCUUCAUUAAGUACCUGAUGUGCACAGGGCUGGACAAUUUACACACAUCACCUGCCUUGUUUCUCCUAACAGCCUGAUAGAGCAGGAUCCCCAAUUUUCAGAAGAGCAAAUUGAUUCAAACAAUGAUCACCACCUGAAAAUGAUGGCCUCGGGGAGCGGAAUCAGGUGCAGAAUGAUGGGGCCGGGACUGUGACCUUUGUGAGUCUAAGCCUUCCAGGAUUACGGUUAACUUCUGCGUCUAUACCUUUCAUCUGUGUGUGGAGAUUUAAAACUGCCGGGCCGUCCGGUUCCACACGUAGGGAGCUUGGGAGUCACCACUCCAUCCCAGUAACAUGACAAAGCUGACAGACUGAAAAAGCAACGACUCUUCUUGGAGCUGUAGCAGAGCGGAGGACACAGAGCAAACCGCUGGCCCCACGAUACGAGAGCCUCGCGCGUACGAGGAGCCACGGCUCCCACAGCGGAGGCGCAGGAGGGGAAACCUCGCGAGAACCAGUGCCGUCUGGGGCGGCAAACAGGAACUGGGACUGAAGAAUCGCCGCCGGAGGCUCAGCGUGGACGAGUCUGAGAGGUAAAAACUCCAGGGGGUCCGGGUUGUAGGGGAGCCCCCCACACUACACUGAGGGAUUUCUCUCCAGGGUCUUGACCAGAUUCCCACGCUAAAUAGUGGAGCGAGAUCCCCUCGGGUUUCCGGCAGGGCCAGAGGAAAAGGGACCAUUUUGGAAGAAGCCAGAGCACAGUGUUCUUCUUUCCAAGGCCUGCCCUCCGGGAAACUAGGUAACCGGAGCCUAACUGACCCGGGAUGGGAAACCUCCGACUCCAGCCAUCCUGUCCCACCCAAGGGAGGAGAAAAAAAACUGAGAAGCACGUGUGACUUGCACAGCCAGAGGCAGAGGCUCUCGAAAAGACAGAGGCCUAAUCGCAGGACUGCGGAAUGCUGCCCCCCCACCACCCCCGAGCCUCACCCCUGCAUUACUAAGGGCCUAUUUAUGGCAUUUCCUUUACCCAGUACAUCUUGUCCAACUACCAAGAAAAAAUUACAAGGCAUACACCACAAGGCAAAAAAACACACCUGGGAGAGACACAGCAACUCUCAGAACCAGACAUGGCAGGAAUUGUGGAAUUAAUCAGGAGUUUUGGAAUUAGCCGCCCAGGAAUUUAAAACUCUGAUUAAUAUGCUAAGGGCACUAAUGGAUAAAAUCAAGAGCAGGUAAGAACACAUGGACAAUGUAUGCAGAGAGGUGGCGAUCCUGAAAAGAACCAAAAAGAAAUGCUAGAGCUCAAAAAAAACGCUGUAACAGAAAUGAAGAAAUGCUUUUGACGGGCUUAUUAGUAGACUGGACAUAGCUGAGGAAAAACAACCCUGAGCCAGGGGCGAGAGCGACAGAAUCCUCCAACGCCAGAACACAGAGAGAGGAAAGGCUGAAAAAAACCGAGAACAUGAUAUCCAAGGAGGAGGAGAAAGAGGAAAAAAAGAGAAGAAAUAAUUGAAACAAUAGUGACCGAGAAUGUCCCCAAAUGAAUGUCAGGCAUCAAUCCAUAGAUCCAGGUAGCUCAGAGACCACCAAGCAAGAUAAAUGCUACCCCCUAAAAACUACAACUUGCUCCAAUUUGACCCCUAGCCUGGGAACUUCCGUAUGCCGUGGGUGCAGCACAAAAAAGCAAAACAAAAACAAAAACAAACCCUGCAACUUGGCAUAUCAUCUUCAACUUACAAAAAAAUCAAAGAUAAAAAAAUCCUGAAAGAAAUAAGAGGAAAAAACACCUUUCCUGUAGAGAAACAAAUGUAAGAAUCAUAUCGAAAUUCUCCUCAGGAACCAAGCAAGCAAGAAGAGGAUGAACUGAAAUAUUUGAAGUGUUGAGAGAAAAAAACCCACCACCUUAGAGUUCUGUACCCCAAGAAAUAAAGCAUUUCUCAGGCAAACAAAAGUUCAGCGAAUUCAUUGCCAGUAGGCCUUGCAAGAAAUGUUGAGACGGUUUUUUAGAGACAGGGAAAAUGGUACAGGUCGGAAACUGGGAUCUCCAUAAGGAAAGGCAGUGUGUCGAGGAAGGAAGAAAUGAAGGAAAAUCAGGAACUUCGGGGGAUUGAAAACGCCACCUCUCUCGACUUCUUGACUUGUGAAUGCAAAGCAAACAUCAGUGACAUCAGUGAAGGACUAAGGACACAGGAGAAGAGGGAGAAGAGCCUAGCUGGUCCUUAGGACAUCUCCAGGUGAGCUGGGAAUGAACACCUGCUAGUCAUCUAGCCUGAGUCCUGAUUUCAAGCCUGUCAGAUACAUCAGUGGACUCUUCAGGGCUCUGUAGAUAUGAUCACAGACCCUUUGGGUCAGUGAAGAUGCACCAGGAGACAAGAGUCUCCAUCUUGAAUAAAGGGAAAGAGAGAGAGGGAGAGAGAGAGGUUUGACCAAUCAUAGCAAUAAUAAGAAAAAUAGUAAGCCUAGAGUGAGGCAGAGCUUUAUCUUAAACCAUGUGUUUUCAAAUACUCUCUUAUUAGCCUUGUCAGAAUUCCACAAGGUAGCUUGGCCCAGUAGUAUUCCUGUCUGCAUCUCAAGUAUGAAACAGGUUCAAAGAAGUCAGGUCACUUGCUCAAAAGAAAACACCAGGUCACCUAGUCACUGCAUCACACUUGUACCUGGAAGCUGACCUUGGUAGGUGGGAUGGGAAAUUGACAAGGAGUCAUUGUGGGCUCUAGUCAACAAGUUCUAGUUGUAACCAUCCACGAAUGCUAUACCAGUCCCAGUCUCAAUGAUCUCUUCUGCAAAAUUUUGAUAAUGCUGACCUUGCCUACCUCUAUUUCAUGAACCCAGUGGUGGAAUAUUCAAUGACAUAUAGAGUGCACCUACAAAUGGAGAGUUACAAUUAGGAUGUCCAAGCAUUUUUAAAAGAACGAUAUGAUCAUAGGGAACCAGCAUAUAUUAAAGCUCAAGAGUUACCCCUCCCCUUCCCCCCGCCACAUCCAACUUCAUUGCUUUCCUGGAUGAAGUUUCUAGAUAGGUGAACAGGGCCAGAUCCCAUACCUUAUGUGGAUUUCAGGAAGAGCUGAAGCAGAGAGAUAGCUGUUUACAGGAGAGGAGAGAAGGAGAGUCCUGAAACCGUAUGGGCUCGUGAGAGCAGCAGAAAUGGUUGCACUGCCAGGUGUUCCUUGACCUUGAUUUCAAUAUGGCACAAGAACUUGUUCCUUCCCCAUGAGGCAGUUUCUGGGCAUUGAAAUAUGCAGGGGUUGCAUAAUUGCUACAUCUGCUUCUCUUUCUGGGAUUUAAAUGGGCCUCGUUCACAUUACAUUUUGGAAAUCACCCUGUUGACAGGUGCCUGCCCCAGCUGAGCAGCUGAAUCAACCUAGAACUUUGUGUGUGCUAAACAGAUGCUGGCCUUUUUCCACAACAGAAGUUGUUGUUUCCUUGUGGACAACAUACUGAAAUGUGUGCUGGGUAUCAACACAAUCAAGGAUUACCCAGCUGGCUGAAAACAGUCACUCUCAGACAAUGCUGAUCAAUGAGUUGAGGUCAACCUGAAGGAAGAAAGAGUGUCAGAAUCAAUAUUUUUUUCCCUAAGAUGAAUAAAAAUUGAUAGUGUUCAUCAAACCUAGUUGGGAUAGCUAAUAUAUUAGGUAGAAGAAUCAAAACUUAGGAUGAUACAUAUAAGAUGUCAUAUGUUUUAUACAAACAAUAAUUUUAAAGAUCCUCAGGAUGAAAAUUAUAUAGAU